UUGACAUGUGGGGAUUAUAGGGGUUAUAAAUCAGAUGAGAUUUGGGUGGGGACACAAAACCACUAACCAUAUCAAUAGGUACCAUAAAGUCUUAGAGUUAGAAAGGAAGAUAAAGCUUAUCUAUCUAUUUAACUGCCUUUUGAUUUGCCUACAUCAUAGCUGCUAUUUCUUUUCUCUAGUUACUUCUCUAGUCCACCUCCAAAAAUAAUCUAGGCAUAGAAUGAAGACUUUUGUCUUCUUGCUAAAAGGAAAAAAAUACACAAUCUUCUUCCUCAUUGGUUUACUAAAGAAGAAAAGAAAAACUGGAAAGAAAUACAUCUCAACUAAGGAGUCCCAAAACCAAAGAGAAGGAAAAAAGCCUUACCACAAUGUUGGUUGAAGCCAACUACAGACCUGCUGAGGAGGGGGAAUUAACCACUUGGCGAGAGGACAGAACCAGUAUCCUCACCUAUUUGGCCACGUUAACUGUUUUCUUUCUUUUACAUCCUGGUUAUUUUGAUUUUAUGCUACUAAGGUCUGGCCUGUGAUUCACAGAGGGAAGUGCUUCCCCAUAUAGUCAAGCACACUUGGGGAGCAUCUCCCCAUAGUUGGAAUCAUAAUAGAAGAAGGGAAGUAACUGGAGGUAGUUCUGCUGUCUAUUGUCUCAGCUGCUUUGAUUUUCCUGUGCCAGUCUCUAAUUGACUUGGCAUUUUGGGUAGAGCUUGAUCAUGUUCCCGUUGAAGUCACUGAGAAUCUUCAUCAGCAAUCUUGCAGUAAUCUUGCAGCAAAAUCUGCCACUCAAAACUUCGUGGCUCUUGAAUAGAGCCAGUUUGAAAUCUUGGCCAGGAUCUUUGAACUCCAGCCCAGCCAGGCUGAUGUGACUCUGGAUUUAUCUCUCAGCAGGAUGUCUCCCAGAAUUGGCAGUCUCUGUCAUUCGACAGAGACACACAAGGAUCCUGCCAGCAGCAAAGGGCAAGGAGCAAAGAAAGAGGAAAAGGAAGGGACAUUUUACAGUAUCAAGAUAUUAGUGUUUGCACUUUUUUUUUUUUUUGCUCUAAACCAAUAAUUUCUCUCUCUCUCUCUCUUUCUCACACACACACACACACGCACAUACAAGUUUAACGUAUGCCAUCUAGCUAGUCUAACCCAAAAUGCUUAACUGCAUUAAUCAUUCAACCAAUAGCUUUUAUAUGCUAAAUGUAGUGUUUGUCUUUUACAAGUUGAUUCUGGCCAUGAUUACUGCCCUCAGUGUGCUUAUACUCUAGUUGUGGAGACAAGUUUUAUACUCCUGAUGAAGACCAGUAAUUGUGAGAUAUUAUCUAAUGACCUAAAGAAUGGGGCACAUAAUAACAGAUUUGAAAUUUCUGCAAAACGAGAAAGUAUUACAUGCUGGAAUAGAAAAGCAUCAUUGAAGAAGUGCAUUGUGGGCUGAAUUCUAAAGAAUAGGAGGGAUUCAGAUGGAUGGGCAGAAUGAAUCAGUCAUCUCAAAUGACAUGGAAAGGGAGAGAGAUAGAGGGCAGAUGUGCACAAGACCUACUCAAGGAAGAGCAAGAAUAUUGCAUUCGAGCUUUAGUGCAAACUAGUGAUGUAAAGACCAUAUUUCAUAGGACCUGGAAUGCUAGGCCAGGGAGCUUGAAUGUCAUCUUAAGGCAGCUGAGAGGCCUCGAGGAUUUUCAGUUGAAAAACAAGAUAAAGAUAGUGUUUUAGGGGACUAAUCGUGGUGACAUGACCUUUGAAAAGGGAGAAACCUAGAGGUGGGGAAACUGGUAAGAGAAACUAAUGCAGGGGAUGAGGGCAGGACUUGGGGUUAGAUGGAUCUGGAUUCCAGAUUCAGCCCCUCCAUUUCUUAGCUAAGUCACAUAAUCCUUCUGAGUUUCAGGUUUGGAUGACAAUAAUAUUUAUCCUCUUCUAUUGAGAACCUAGGCACUGUUUUAGGCACUGGGGUUAUGGAGGUGAGCAAAACAAAUAAAGUCCCUUCCCUGAGCUCCAAUCCCUGAUGGAUAUAGGAGAAUUGGAAGCUAAUUAAAUGAGCUAAUGUAUGUGUGUUCCUGAUACAUAGUAGAUGCUCAAUAAAUGGUAACUAGAAAGUCUACUGUAGUAAUAGUCAGGUAAUGAAAUAGAAAAAUUGCAAUAUGCUUUUCCAAAGCCCUUAGUUGCCAGAGAACAAGCACAGGUUUACAUUUCAGGAUGUGGAUUCCAUCCCACUGGCUCUUUCUUGAUGCAACUGCUGUCCUUUUGUUCCAGUUGGCUUGGGCUUCAGUAACUUGAACAUUUCAAUGACUGCAUGCACUUAACAUUCUUGAUGUAAACCCACUGAGUUAGACUUUGGUGAUCCAGAACCAUUUCCCUUUCUGAGAUGCCUGGGUCGUGGAAGUCUCUGUCACAGGUCUUUCCUCUGUCAGAAGCAAAAAGCCUUUCCUUUCCUCAGUCACUCCCACCAUGCCCUGCUUUUCACCUGACAAGAUGAUGAGAACUUGAAUUAUCUCCUGAACAUCUUGGUGCUCAGUGCUCAGGCCAACUCUGCUAAAACAUAACCUAUCUCUGAAGGAUUUGUUCAUGAUCUGAGCACUUACUUUUUUCUCACCAGACAGUUGACCAAAGGAACCAAUAAUGUUUGAUAUCUUUAAUAUUCUCCCAAGCAAUGCCAAGCAAAGUACUGAAACACAUUUUGUCUUUAUUAUACAUUAGCAACUAUAUGAUUUGACUUACAGUCUUCCACCUUUUAGUUAUUCAACUAUGUUUACUGACUGUCCAUUAGUGCAGAAAGUUGCUCUGAGCAUUAGGACCAGAGGUCUGAAACUAGCAACUGUGCUUCCCAGUGUUGUACCUCAAAAGAAAUAUUGCUAGCCUAGAAGACAGAAAAAAAGGGUUCUUCCAGCCCCACCCUGACAUGGAAUCCUGAACAAUGCAUUUAAACUCACUGUGAAAUUGAAACAAUAUAACAAACAGCUAAUAUUUAUUAAGUUACUUUAUGCUUGGCAAUGUACUAAGUGCUUUACAUGCAUUACCUUAUUUUAUUCUCUACAGCAACCGAGUAAAGUUCAUAUUAUCAUUAUUCCUUUUGUUUUAUACGUGAGACUUGAAAUUCCAUCCAUUGCCCUACCACAAAUACAAAAACCAAAGUUGAAACGACACCUCUCUUAAUCCAGAACCUGGGGCCUUAACUUCCAUUCCCCAGGAUUAUAAUAAACAUCUAACUAGUUAAUAUAUAUAUAAAUGCACUUUCAGCUUGUAACAAAUAUAAAGUGCUCCUUUUUUAACUGUAAAAGAAAUAAAAGGUUGUAUCUGAUUCUUGUUUACUUCUUAUUCAUGCUUGGCGUGAAUAAGUGGAUCACUGAGCAGUAUUUGUUGGACAAGACAUUCGUAUACUUGUGCUACCUUAUCUGCAGCCUUUACUGACAUAUCUAAUUAAUCUCCAUGUCCACUGAACUGCCUAAAGCAUUGCUAUUUACAGAAGGGGAAUUUGAUAUUAUUUAUGUGUUUAAAUGAAGUGUUCUUACCUCUAAAAUUCUGUCUGAAGUUUCUUCACAAUUUUGAGUACACACAUAGAUACAAAAGGCUAAACAGUUGUACUUAGCAAUUUCUACUCUGUUAAGUGGAGAACCCACCCUACAAUACUGUCAUAGUGACUGCAGUGGGAAGAGAGCACAAAAAUGCCAUGGGUGCACUAUACAAUGCUCAUUCUGGGGGGGAAUAAUAAAGAAAGACAUCCCAGAGCAGUUGUUACUAGGAGGAUUUUGAACGAAAGGAAUGGCAGGUGUCUGUGACUGUCUUACUAGGAUAAGAUGCACCAACUCUGCUCUCCUGUAAAAGAAAACUUUUACAGUUUCAUUCUCUCUUAUCUCUCUUUGAGGCCUAACAUUGUCAAAAUAACAAUGAAAUAUUUCUUUUAAACAUUUAUGGUUUUUGUCUCUUUUUUUUUAAAUAGCCAUAAAGUUGUAGACAAGGCAUUGAAUCAGACUCCUUUUUUGCAGUACGUCAGACCCGCCUGUUUCUUUUCCAGCUGCUGCUGUGCACCAGCUCCCAUGACUCCACACAGCCCCAACCUAACAGGGCUUUGCCUCAGGCCAAUGGCAAGAGACUCCACCUGGUGUUCAUGCAUGUGCAACCCAGAAAUGCAGGAACACUGGUACUCGGUGGAGUGAAUCUUUGUCCAGCAGCAGAUGGUUGCCUGUGGAUAGUCUCCUUCCGUCUUCCUAUGGAUGAUCUUUUGAUUCUGAUUAUAGAGCUUCCCAGGCAGUCCCAUGGCAACCUGCUGGAAAAUGCUUUAUCGUAUUGACUCUCCUUCCUUCCCAGCCUCUCUCCCUUCAUCCCCUGCUCCUGCUUCCUUCAACUGUGUUUCCAAUCAAUUAAUGGUGCACAUACCCUUUCUCACAGACACUUUCUAGAGGACCCAGGAUAUGACAAACAUUGAGAAUAGAAAGUCAACAUCUUAGCAACAACUAUCCUUAAUAUGAGGCCUUUAUUUUGGACUCAUGGAUGCCAAACAGGACAAAGAGAAAUGUGAAAGUGGACUACCCUAAUGCAUAAAAAUCAUGUUUCUGAAGAAUAUUUAAUGAAAACGAUCUGGGUUAGUGCUCGUAAUAUUAAAGAUGAAUAAAAAGUGGGUCAUCUAUUUUCUGUGAUCUACUUUUAUGUAAAAUAUGUAUUUAUCUGUAUGCAAGAGUGACAGGAAAGAAAAAUGCUAAAAUGUUAACUGUUGUUAUCUCUGAGUGGUACUCUUAUGGGUCGUUUUUGUAUUUCUCUUUAUGCCUUUCUGUAAUUUUCCCAGUUAUCUAUGACCAUGUUCUACUUUUAAAAUUAGAGAAAAAAAGAAUAGCUAUUAGUAGUGAACCUAAAGAGUCAUUUAUUCCUUCCUUUAAGUUUUUUCUUCAUAAAAUAUGUGUUUCUGGCCGAUGAAGCCUAGUGCCAUUCAGAUCUUCGUCUUUUUCACACAUCAGGCGUUGGUAUGUUUUCUGUUGCAAUUCAAUUGCCAGCUGAAGCCCAGAGAUGGGUUCACACUUCAGGUCUGUGGGAGCUGCCAUGGCUGUGAGGCAGAGUGCACAUUUACUGGUGGGAGGAUGAUAUUAAUGAAAUGAUGAAGGGGAAGAGCACUGAUUGAGUACUGACAGCAUAAAGGUGUUGACAGACCACAGAGUUGGACACGGUCUCAGGGUCUAGAUUUAAUCCACAUUUCUAGGAGCCAUCCUGACAGCCUUUGGCAUCACUGUCAAUUGGUGAUGAUUGAUAAAGAGAAACAGGCAGAGAGGCUUUUCUGGUAUCCUUUAGCACCGCAAUUAUUUUACAUACGGCUGAAUUAGGUGGAUGCCCCUAAUUGCCUAAGGACAGUGGGAAGAUUGUGCCGAACCUGAGAGUAUAACUGAAAUUCCACCACUUUUACCUCAUUGUGAUGGAGUAAGCAAAACCUACCUAGGUUUGGCAGAGUCCCUCAGUGUGUUCCUGGGGAUAUAUUAUAUUCUACCAUUAUUAGUCCUUAUCAUUUUGUCUUGAAUAUCGACUGUUUCCUUCUUUAACCAUAAAAUAAAAGAAGAUUAAAAGACAAGGAGUAAAGAAAAGAGAGAAUUUUACUUCAAAUACUCUACAGGAACAAGCUAUUGCCUGCUGUAAAGAGAGUUAAGGGCUUAUGCAAUAGGUAACAAAUCUAUUUAAAUAUCUAUCUUUGUAUCUCAUGUUACCUUAGAUCUAUUUGACUGCAAAGUUCAUAGGAAGAUGGCCCCCAAUUCAUCACUCCUCUCUAUAUUUGUUCCCUUUGCCAUGUAACUUUAUAGUUGCUCCCUCUAAACUUGAGGGCCGUAAGUCUUGCUUUUACUAACGACAUAUGGUCAGAAGUGAUAGCCCUGACUGACUUUCAUUUACUCCCCUGUCCUUUUGACACUAUCACAAGAACAUGCCCCCCACUGGCCCAGUUAUCCAAGGAGGAUGAGCAAUUAUUAAAGCUGAGGCUUCUCAGAUGAGUGCAGACUAGAUUAGAUGGGCUUCAGCUGACCUGUAGGUACACAAUCAGAAAUAAUGAUUGGUUCUUUCAAGUGGUUAUUUGAAGCCACUAAGUUUAGAAUGAUUAAUUGCAGAGCUUUCUCUGUAUUGAUACAAUAGUCUUUCUCUUUCUAUAUCCUAAAUUAAUUUCCAUUUAUUUAUGUUGUAAACGUUUUUUUUUUUUUUUUUUUUUUUUUUAACUAGCAAAAUGUUUGGCAUGUGAUAUGUGAUUUAUUUAUAGUGUUCAUUUGAAUAAAUGGUUCCUCACAAUCGUUCCCAAGCUACCUUUCCUGGUUUACCUCCCUAUUAUGACUUGCACUGUAUGUCUUUCAAAAAAGGUAUGUGGAAGCCCUAUCCUUUGGAGCCUCAGAAUAUAAACGUAUUUGAAAGUAGGAUCUUUACAGACAUCAUCAAAUUAAAAUGAAGUCAUCAACAUGGACUCUAACAGGACUGGUGUCCUUAUAAAGAGGUGAAAUUUGGACACAGAGUCAUAUGUACACAUAUGGAAGACAAAGUGAAGACACGGAGAAGGUGGCCACAUGGCUGUAGUGUUGCACCUACAAGCCACAAAAUGCUAAGGUUGCUUCUGGCAACCACUGGAAGCCAGAAAGAGGCAAGGAAGGAUUCUUUCCCAGAGCUGUCAGGAAGAGCAUGAUCCUGUCAAUCUUGAUUUUGGAUGUCUAGCCUCCAGAACUGUGAAAAAAUAAAUUUCUGUUGUUUGAAGCCA